rnacentral:rRNA from 1 species
GUGAGGAAUAUUGGGCAAUGGGCGAAAGCCUGAUCCAGCCAUGCCGCGUGUGUGAAGAAGGUCUUCGGAUUGUAAAGCACUUUAAGUUGGGAGGAAGGGCAGUAAGUUAAUACCUUGCUGUUUUGACGUUACCGACAGAAUAAGCACCGGCUAACUUCGUGCCAGCAGCCGCGGUAAUACGAAGGGUGCAAGCGUUAAUCGGAAUUACUGGGCGUAAAGCGCGCGUAGGUGGUUUUGUAAGUUGGAGGUGAAAUCCCCGGGCUCAACCUGGGAACUGCCUCCAAAACUGCAUGACUAGAGUACGGUAGAGGGUAGUGGAAUUUCCUGUGUAGCGGUGAAAUGCGUAGAUAUAGGAAGGAACACCAGUGGCGAAGGCGACUACCUGGACUGAUACUGACACUGAGGUGCGAAAGCGUGGGGAGCAAACAGGAUUAGAAACCCUUGUAGUCC